AAUGGACUGCCCUUCGCGUGUCUGACCGCAUGUCUUCCGGGCCAACACUACUUUAUAGGGAGCCGUCACUGUCAAGAUCGCGGUCUUGUUAUAUGGCGCCCACCUUAUCUUGCGGGUAUCGGAUAGAAUGAUAUGGACACGGUCUGGGCGGUCCGCCU
rnacentral:other from 1 species